rnacentral:rRNA from 1 species
UACGAAGGGGGCUAGCGUUGUUCGGAAUUACUGGGCGUAAAGGGCGCGUAGGCGGUACUUCAAGUCAGGCGUGAAAGCCCCGGGCUCAACCUGGGAACCGCGCUUGAGACUGGAGAACUAGAGUUCGGGAGAGGAUGGUGGAAUUCCCAGUGUAGAGGUGAAAUGCGUAGAUAUUGGGAGGAACACCAGUGGCGAAAGCGACCUUCUGGGCUAGUCCUGACGCUGAGGCACGAAAGCGUGGGGAGCAAACGGG